CCAGCUCCAAUAGCGUAUAUUAAAGUUGUUGCAGUUAAAAAGCUCGUAGUUGGAUUUGUGGCAGGUGCGUGCGGUCCGACACUGUGUGUGGGUGCUCGUGCGCAUCGCCAUCCUUGGGUGGAAGCUGUGUGGCAUUAGGUUGUCGUGCAGGGGAUGCCCAUCCUUUACUGUGAAAAAAUUAGAGUGUUCAAAGCAGGCUUAUGCCGUUGAAUAUAUUAGCAUGGAAUAAUGAGAUAGGACCUUGGUACUAUUUUGUUGGUUUGCGCACCAAGGUAAUGAUUAAUAGGGACAGUUGGGGGUAUUCGUAUUCCAUUGUCAGAGGUGAAAUUCUUGGAUUUCUGGAAGACGAACUACUGCGAAAGCAUUUACCAAGGAUGUUUUCA
rnacentral:rRNA from 1 species